rnacentral:misc_RNA from 1 species
GGAACCUUGAAGGACUUAAUUCUAAACUUAACAUGGGAAUCACCAGGCCUGAGGAAUGGACGACCUCCACUGAAAACUGACGUUCCAACCGCUGCGCAGCCUCCUGAAGAUGCUUUACUACUACCGGAAGCAUUUCCAUGCAAGUCAUUUGUUGGAGAACUACUUAUUCCAUCCGUACUCAUCUCUCCAUCAGAAUUGGAGAACGAGCCACAUUUAAAGACCUUUCUUUUCUUGAAAGGAAAAUCCCUCUGAGAUCUUUGGUGCUUGUAGCCGUCCCGCUUGUAGCCAAUGUUUCUGUUGUAGUAAACAUGCAUUGCUUUCCCACCAGAAUUGGCAUGGCCCUCGUCAUCAAAUUUAAGAUUUUCUUUCCAAUAUUUGGAAGCUAGUAACUUCUUAAUUGGCCGAUCCCGUAAACAUGGUGCUGCCCCGGAGGCCUUAUUUGGGGUGCUAGGUUGAGUGCACCCAGAGUUUUCGUCAUCAUCUUUAUAAGCUAAUUUUACAUUAUCCCGAAUCACCGGAAAGGACCUAGAAGGAGCAGGAUAUGUAGACAGAGAUAAUUUUACAUUUUCAUCUGAAGUAACAAGUGUUGAAGGUUUCUUGUCCCAAACAUCAGGGAACUUUGAACUGGAAAUUGCAGUCCCCUUAUCAGUCAAAACUUUAGCUUUAUUUGACAGCUCAAUUUUCAUCUGUUUAUCGUUUUCAGUGUCUAAUGUACAACUGGAA